GUUAUAUGGUCAAGUGAAGAAGCGCAUACGGUGGAUGCCUUGGCAGUCAGAGGCGAUGAAAGACGUGGUAGCCUGCGAAAAGCUUCGGGGAGUCGGCAAACAGACUUUGAUCCGGAGAUGUCUGAAUGGGGGAACCCAGCCAUCAUAAGAUGGUUAUCACACACUGAAUACAUAGGUGUGUGAGGCGAACCAGGGGAACUGAAACAUCUAAGUACCCUGAGGAAAAGAAAUCAACCGAGAUUCCCUUAGUAGUGGCGAGCGAACGGGGACUAGCCCUUAAGCUUCUUUGAUUUUAGCGGAACGCUCUGGAAAGUGCGGCCAUAGUGGGUGAUAGCCCUGUACGCGAAAGGAUCUUAGAAGUGAAAUCGAGUAGGACGGAGCACGAGAAACUUUGUCUGAACAUGGGGGGACCAUCCUCCAAGGCUAAAUACUACUGACUGACCGAUAGUGAACCAGUACCGUGAGGGAAAGGCGAAAAGAACCCCGGAGAGGGGAGUGAAAUAGAACCUGAAACCGUAUGCGUACAAGCAGUGGGAGCCUACUUUGUUAGGUGACUGCGUACCUUUUGUAUAAUGGGUCAGCGACUUAUUUUCAGUGGCGAGCUUAACCGAAUAGGGGAGGCGUAGCGAAAGCGAGUCUUAAUAGGGCGUCUAGUCGCUGGGAAUAGACCCGAAACCGGGCGAUCUAUCCAUGGGCAGGUUGAAGGUUAGGUAACACUGACUGGAGGACCGAACCGACUACCGUUGAAAAGUUAGCGGAUGACCUGUGGAUCGGAGUGAAAGGCUAAUCAAGCUCGGAGAUAGCUGGUUCUCCUCGAAAGCUAUUUAGGUAGCGCCUCGUGUAUCACUGCUGGGGGUAGAGCACUGUUUCGGCUAGGGGGUCAUCCCGACUUACCAAACCGAUGCAAACUCCGAAUACCAGCAAGUGUCAGCACGGGAGACACACGGCGGGUGCUAACGUCCGUCGUGAAAAGGGAAACAACCCAGACCGUCAGCUAAGGUCCCAAAGUCAUGGUUAAGUGGGAAACGAUGUGGGAAGGCUUAGACAGCUAGGAGGUUGGCUUAGAAGCAGCCAUCCUUUAAAGAAAGCGUAAUAGCUCACUAGUCGAGUCGGCCUGCGCGGAAGAUGUAACGGGGCUCAAACCAUGCACCGAAGCUACGGGUUCAACGCAAGUUGAGCGGUAGAGGAGCGUUCUGUAAGCCUGUGAAGGUGAGUUGAGAAGCUCGCUGGAGGUAUCAGAAGUGCGAAUGCUGACAUGAGUAACGACAAUGCGAGUGAAAAACUCGCACGCCGAAAGACCAAGGGUUCCUGCGCAACGUUAAUCGACGCAGGGUGAGUCGGUCCCUAAGGCGAGGCUGAAGAGCGUAGUCGAUGGGAAACGGGUUAAUAUUCCCGUACUUCUAGUUACUGCGAUGGGGGGACGGAGAAGGCUAGGCCAGCAAGGCGUUGGUUGUCCUUGUUUAAGGUGGUAGGCAGAGAUCUUAGGUAAAUCCGGGAUCUUAAUGCCGAGAGCUGAUGACGAGCUUUCUUUUAGAAAGCGAAGUGGUUGAUGCCAUGCUUCCAGGAAAAGCCUCUAAGCUUCAGGUAACUAGGAACCGUACCCCAAACCGACACAGGUGGUUGGGUAGAGAAUACCAAGGCGCUUGAGAGAACUCGGGUGAAGGAACUAGGCAAAAUGGCACCGUAACUUCGGGAGAAGGUGCGCCGGUGAGGGUGAAGUAUUUACUACGUAAGCCCAUGCCGGUCGAAGAUACCAGGCCGCUGCGACUGUUUAUUAAAAACACAGCACUCUGCAAACACGAAAGUGGACGUAUAGGGUGUGACGCCUGCCCGGUGCCGGAAGGUUAAUUGAUGGGGUUAGCGCAAGCGAAGCUCUUGAUCGAAGCCCCGGUAAACGGCGGCCGUAACUAUAACGGUCCUAAGGUAGCGAAAUUCCUUGUCGGGUAAGUUCCGACCUGCACGAAUGGCGUAACGAUGGCGGCGCUGUCUCCACCCGAGACUCAGUGAAAUUGAAAUCGCUGUGAAGAUGCAGUGUAUCCGCGGCUAGACGGAAAGACCCCGUGAACCUUUACUAUAGCUUUGCACUGGACUUUGAGCUUGCUUGUGUAGGAUAGGUGGGAGGCUUUGAAGCGUGGACGCCAGUUC
rnacentral:rRNA from 1 species